rnacentral:tRNA from 1 species
UUGUGAUGUCUGAAUUAUUUAUCUUUAGACCAUAAUCCUGUCACCUUAGGUCGAUCGGUACCUCAAUUAAAUACCAAUAAAUCUAAGUAAUUAGUUUUUAGUUAUUUAAAUCAGUUCCUAAACUUUGUCUAGGUCACACCCAGCAAUGGUACUCCUGGGCAUUAGCUCAGGUGGUUAGAGCGCACCCCUGAUAAGGGUGAGGUCCCUGGUUCAAGUCCAGGAUGGCCCAUUCGGUGUUGGGGGUAUAGCUCAGUUGGUAGAGCGCCUGCUUUGCAAGCAGGAUGUCAGCGGUUCGAGUCCGCUUACCUCCACUGAUCAAACUCCUGAUAGCGAAGUUGAGGAGAUUAUUGUUUAGUGUGAUCUAGAAUUUGUUACUGAUUAAAUGAACCUAGCUUCUUGUCAUUCCUUCUAAAACUCUUUUGUUUUGGCUGAUAAGACGCUGGGCUCCCUGCAAAAUAAUUGCAGAGAUCUUCAGUAGAACCUUGACAACUGCAUAGGUGAGUCUGGAAAGAAUAAAGCAUCUCAUGGAUGCAUUAAUUCUUUUGAUGUUUGUUUUUGAGUUAUUCAAAAAUCAAAUUUUAAUAGAAUUAGUGAUUAAUUCUUGAGCAAGAGCCGAGACUCUAUAA